GAGUUUGAUCCUGGCUCAGAAUCAACGCUGGCGGCGUGCCUAACACAUGCAAGUCGAACGAGAAAGGGCAGCAAUGCCUGAGUAAAGUGGCGCACGGGUGAGUAACACGUGACUAACCUACCCUUGAGCGGGGGAUAACCUAGGGAAACCUGGGCUAAUACCGCAUAAUACCUACGGGUCAAAGCAGCAAUGCACUUAAGGAGGGGGUCGCGGCAGAUUAGCUAGUUGGUGAGGUAAUGGCUCACCAAGGCGAUGAUCUGUAUCCGGCCUGAGAGGGCGCACGGACACACUGGAACUGAAACACGGUCCAGACUCCUACGGGAGGCAGCAGUGGGGAAUUUUGCGCAAUGGGGGAAACCCUGACGCAGCAACGCCGCGUGGAGGAUGAAAUCCCUUGGGAUGUAAACUCCUUUCGAUCGGGACGAUUAUGACGGUACCGGAAGAAGAAGCCCCGGCUAACUUCGUGCCAGCAGCCGCGGUAAUACG
rnacentral:rRNA from 1 species